rnacentral:rRNA from 1 species
UUUCGGAGCUAACGCGUUAAGUAGACCGCCUGGGGAGUACGGUCGCAAGAUUAAAACUCAAAUGAAUUGACGGGGGCCCGCACAAGCGGUGGAGCAUGUGGUUUAAUUCGAUGCAACGCGAAGAACCUUACCUACUCUUGACAUCUACAGGAUCCUGCGGAGACGCGGGAGUGCCUUCGGGAACUGUAAGACAGGUGCUGCAUGGCUGUCGUCAGCUCGUGUCGUGAGAU